rnacentral:rRNA from 1 species
GUGAGGAAUAUUGGUCAAUGGGCGGGAGCCUGAACCAGCCAAGUCGCGUGAAGGAAGAAGGAUCUAUGGUUCGUAAACUUCUUUUGCAGGGGAAUAAAGUGCAGGACGUGUCCUGUUUUGUAUGUACCCUGAGAAUAAGGAUCGGCUAACUCCGUGCCAGCAGCCGCGGUAAUACGGAGGAUCCGAGCGUUAUCCGGAGUUAUUGGGUUUAAAGGGUGCGUAGGUGGUUUGAUAAGUCAGCGGUGAAAGUUUGCAGCUUAACUGUAAAAAUGCCGUUGAAACUGUCGGACUUGAGUGUAAAUGAGGUAGGCGGAAUGCGUGGUGUAGCGGUGAAAUGCAUAGAUAUCACGCAGAACUCCGAUUGCGAAGGCAGCUUACUAAGCUACAACUGACACUGAAGCACGAAAGCGUGGGGAUCAAACAGGAUUAGAAACCCCGGUAGUCC